rnacentral:rRNA from 1 species
CACACUGGCACUGAGACACGGGCCAGACUCCUACGGGAGGCAGCAGUGAGGAAUUUUGCGCAAUGGGGGCAACCCUGACGCAGCAACGCCGCGUGUGGGAAGAAGGCUUUCGGGUUGUAAACCACUUUUGUAAGGGACGAAGUCCUGCCGGUUAAGACCCGGCGGGGAUGACGGUACCUUGCGAAUAAGCCACGGCUAACUCUGUGCCAGCCGCCGCCGUAACAC